CAUAGGAAUAAUACUAAAUACCGAGGAAAUGGAGAUCAAGGCUAUGUAAAUCGGCUUCAUUUUGGCAAUCAUUGCUUUCGUAUUCCAUCUGAUCGGGUUUGCUUCACCCUACUGGAUUAAUGCAGAUAUUGGAUCACAUUCCAUACACUACGGUCUUUGGAAAGGUUGUGGUUUAGUGUUAAAUAGUGGCUGUGGAGAUAUUAUAAAUCCAAAAGAUUGGCUUAAGGCCUCACAAGCGUUUGCCAUCCUUGCAUUUAUUUCCUUUCUAGCUGCCGUUGUGUGUUCUGCUUUAAAGCUGUUUGUCCUAAAAGACAGAAAGAUCAUCUUAUUUGCUGCCAUGGGCGCAGUGUUUGUGGGAGCGUUCUGUGUCCUUCUCUCAAUUGCUACAUACGCUGGAAAGAUGGAAGGUAUAACAGGUGGAUCCAGUCUUUUCAACUUUCACUUUGCCUUUGCGUUUUGUAUUAUUGGAAUGCUGGUCGCAAUAGCCUCUGGAGUAUGUUUUAUUCUGGAAUUAAAGAACUCAUAAAGCAGUAGGCUGGUGGUUUUUUCUUAGAUCACUUAUAGAAUUUUACAUUAGGAUUUGAAAUUGGCUUGCUUUUUUUCUUAGAUCACUUAUAGAAUUUUACAUUAGGAUUUGAAAUUGGCUUGCUUUUUUUUCUUAAAUCACUUAUAGAAUUUUACAUUAGGAUUUGAAAUUGGCUUGCUUUUUUUCUUAAAUCACUUAUAGAAUUUUACAUUAGGAUUUGAAAUUGGCUUGCUUUUUUUUCUUUUGAUUGCUUCGUAUUUUAUAUUGUACGAGUGUAUGAACGUUUAAGAAAAAAAGGACUACUGGUUUCGGCCGAGAUGAAUCAGAACGGGGAUAUCAAGAAUUCAAAAAAGAAUCUACAAUGUAUAUGUACAUCAAUAAUUUACCAAAAAAUCCAUCUGUACAUAAACAAUUUCAGCAUUUUAACUCAUUUGUUUUCUUUUAUAAUGACAUGCAUUUUUACUCUGUAAAAUUUUAGGAAAAUUAAAAAAUAGUUUUCAUGCUGCUUUGC